rnacentral:rRNA from 1 species
GACGAACGCUGGCGGCGUGCUUAACACAUGCAAGUCGAGCGGAAAGGCCACUUCGGUGGUACUCGAGCGGCGAACGGGUGAGUAACACGUGAGUAAUCUGCCCUUGGCUUCGGGAUAGCCACCGGAAACGGUGAUUAAUACCGGAUAUGACCACUCCAGGCAUCUAGUGGUGGUGGAAAGUUUUUCGGCCAGGGAUGUGCUCGCGGCCUAUCAGCUUGAUGGUGAGGUAAUGGCUCACCAUGGCUUCGACGGGUAGCCGGCCUGAGAGGGUGACCGGUCACACUGGGACUGAGACACGGCCCAGACUCCUACGGGAGGCAGCAGUGGGGAAUAUUGGACAAUGGGCGGAAGCCUGAUCCAGCAACGCCGCGUGAGGGAUGACGGCCUUCGGGUUGUAAACCUCUUUCAGCAGGGACGAAGCGCAAGUGACGGUACCUGCAGAAGAAGCACCGGCCAACUACGUGCCAGCAGCCGCCGUAACAC